GUGGGGAAUUUUGGACAAUGGGCGCAAGCCUGAUCCAGCAAUGCCGCGUGUGUGAAGAAGGCCUUCGGGUUGUAAAGCACUUUUGGCAGGAAAGAAAUAGUGCGUGCUAAUACCAUGCGCGAAUGACGGUACCUGCAGAAUAAGCACCGGCUAACUACGUGCCAGCAGCCGCGGUAAGACGUAGGGUGCAAGCGUUAAUCGGAAUUACUGGGCGUAAAGCGUGCGCAGGCGGUUUUGUAAGACAGGUGUGAAAUCCCCGGGCUCAACCUGGGAACUGCACUUGUGACUGCAAGGCUAGAGUGGGUCAGAGGGAGGUGGAAUUCCGCGUGUAGCAGUGAAAUGCGUAGAGAUGCGGAGGAACACCGAUGGCGAAGGCAGCCUCCUGGGAUAACACUGACGCUCAGGCACGAAAGCGUGGGGAGCAAACAGGAUUAGAAACCCUUGUAGUCC
rnacentral:rRNA from 1 species